rnacentral:rRNA from 1 species
CAGCCGUAAACUAUGCGCGUUAGGUGUAUCGGUGACCACGAGUUACCGAGGUGCCGAAGGGAAACCGUGAAACGUGCCGCCUGGGAAGUACGGUCGCAAGGCUGAAACUUAAGGAAUUGGCGGGGGAGCACCACAACGGGUGGAGCCUGCGGUUUAAUUGGACUCAACGCCGGGAAGCUCACCGGAUAAGACAGCGGAAUGAUUGCCGGGCUGAAGACUCUGCAUGACUAGCUGAGAGGAGGUGCAUGGCGUAGACGUCU